rnacentral:rRNA from 1 species
UACGUAGGGGGCGAGCGUUGUCCGGAGUUACUGGGCGUAAAGGGCAUGCAGGCGGUCCGACGCGUUUUGUGUGACAGCGGGUGGCUUCACUACCCGAGCAUGCGAAAGACGGUUGGACUUGAGGACUCGAGAGGGACACGGAAUUCCGGGUGGAGUGGUGAAAUGCGUAGAGAUCCGGAGGAACACCGAAGGCGAAGGCAGUGUCCUGGCGAGUGACUGACGCUGAGGUGCGAAAGCCAGGGGAGCGAACGGG